AACUAUACAAUGGAAAUAACAAUAGCAUCUAUAUCUCCUAGGAGUGUUUGGAAGAUGAGAUAAUUUCAAGCCAGAAGAGUACUUAGCACAGUGCCUGGCACAUAGAAUAUCCUUCCUAGUAGAUUGGAUAUAUCUUCAAAACUCUGCUCAAGAAUUACUUUGACUGUGAAGCUAGCCAUGGAUGAGACUACUUGGCUACAUGUGUCUAAUUUUAUUUAGAAGUCCCUUCCACAGAGUCCUUUGGAUCUGACCACCCCUGAGGACACAGAGUCAUUUAUACAAUGGUUAAUGAAGAAAACUGCAGCUUGUUUUUUUCCAUGGCUGAAGAGGCAGGAAAUGGAGCAGCA
rnacentral:lncRNA from 1 species